AUUAAAAAGAAACUAAAGUAAUUACAUAAAAACACCUCAAACCUAACUCCGUGUCAAAAAACAUAAUUUCAAUGGUACUCGUCCUAGCUUCUCCACAAAUCUCUGGUGCCGCAGUCCCCUUUCCCUUAGGCAACCGAGCGAAAAUAAGGGAUUCUCAGACUCAAGAAAGAUCUCAAAGUUGCUGAAGGGCUUGCUAAAUAGUUUGUUUGAGGCGUAGAUGAUGUUGCAGUAGGGUAAAAAGCAGCAAGACAAUUGUCUUCGAAGGCGUGAACAGUGAACACACAGCAGUAGGAAAAGAGAGCAAGGGUAGAUGUUUCAAAAUCAAGGAGCUUCUUCAAAAAGUUGUAGUCUUAUUGCAAUAUUGUGUCGGAGAAAUAUUAAAUGGAAAAACCAGCAAGAUUAAACGAGCUUCUUGAAGCGGCAAUGAAGAAGUCUCUCCUCCUUGAAUUGUUUGGGGUUUGAAAGGUUGAGGUUACAAUUGAAGAUGCGAGCUUUGAAGACUUCGUACAAGUUGAGAACAUGGUUAUCAUGCGUUUUGCUAGGCAGUUUGGAACCCAUAUUUGCCCAGAGGUUGUGUAAACAAUAGGGGUGAUAUAUGAAUCUUGAUUAUAUAAUUAUCAGUGGGAUGCUAAUAUACUUUUGUAAUUAAUUACCAACUUUAUAUUUGUAAAUGCAUAUUUGGAUAUGAAAGCAUGAUUUUGUUGAUAAUUUCA